rnacentral:rRNA from 1 species
AAUCUUCCGCAAUGUGCGAAAGCCUGACGGAGCAACGCCGCGUGAUGGAAGAAGGUCUUCUGAGCGUAAACCUUUGUCUCCUAGGACGAUAACGACGGUACUCGGGGUGGAAGCCCCGGCUAACUACGUGCCUGCAGCCGCGGUAACACGCAGGGGGCGAGCGUUGUCCGGAAUUUCUGGGCGUAAAGGGCGCGUAGGCGGCCUAAUAAGUCAGAUGUGAAACCCCCGGGCUUAACCCUGGGCUUGCAUUUGAAACUGUUGGGCUUGAGGACAGGAGAGGAAAGCGGAAUUCCCAGUGUAGCGGUGAAAUGCGUAGAUAUUGGGAGGAACACCAGUGGCGAAGGCGGCUUUCUGGACUGUAACUGACGCUGAGGCGCGAAAGCCAGGGUAGCGAAC